AGCAGUAGGGAAUCUUUCACAAUGGGCGAAAGCCUGAUGGAGCAAUGCCGCGUGCAGGACGAAGGCCUUCGGGUUGUAAACUGCUUUUAUAAGCGAGGAANAUGACGGUAACUUAUGAAUAAGGAUCGGCUAACUACGUGCCAGCAGCCGCGGUAAU
rnacentral:rRNA from 1 species